rnacentral:rRNA from 1 species
ACCCGCUGAAUUUAAGCAUAUAAGUAGGUGGAGGAAAAGAAACCGAAAGGGAAUCUCUUGGUAAUGGCGAAUGAAAAGAGACAUGCCCAGUGUCAAAAUCAGUUUAUCUGACUUGUAGGCUGUAGGGGAUUGCCAACUUGGGGGCAGGUGCAAGUCUCUUGGAAAGGAGCACCAGCGAGGGUCAGGGUCCUGCCUGUCACCUGUCAUCCCUUGUAGACGGUUUGCCCAAAAAGAGUCGUGUUCUUCUGGAAUAGAGCACCAAUUGGGUGGUACUCUGUGCCCAAGGAGCAUUACGUGCUUGAGACCAAUAGAGAACAAGUACCAUGAGGGAAGGGUGAAAAGGACUUUGGAAAGAGGGUUAAGAGGGCGUGAAGCUGCUGGAAGGGAAGUAGAUUGAAUCUCUCCUUGUGGUAAGAUUGCGGGUUGCAGUCUCUGUCUGGAAUGCUGCCAUCUGUGCCUCUUGCCGCUCGGUUGGGCUUGGCGUUCUGCUGAGAAAUGUGGUGAGGGCUGGCUGAAGGGUUGUAACCUGAACCAUCCUCUUGCUUGCUCUUGGCAAACCGCUUGUGCUCGACCAAACAGUUCAAUCUUACCCGUCUUGAAACACGGACCAAGGAGUCUAAUGCGUGUGCAAGUGUGCAGGAUCUAAACCUGACAGCAUAACGAAUGUUACUUGCUGGGAUUCUUGCACCAGCAGCCAACUGACACUUGGGAGAUGUUUGCGUGUGAGCACACUUGCUAGGACCCGAAAGGUGGUGAACUAUGCCUGAGAAGGGUGACGUCAGGGGAAACUCUGAUGGAAGCUCGUAGCGCUACUGACGUGCAAAUCGUUCGUCUGACUUGGGUAUAGGGGCGAAAGACUAAUCGAACCAUCUAGUAGCUGGUUCCCUCCGAAGUUUCCCUCGGAUAGCUGGAGCAGAAUAGUUUUAUCAGGUAAAGCGAAUGAUUCGAGGCAUUGGGGGUAUGUUGCCCUUGACCCACUCUCAAACUUUUAAUGGGUAAGCUNCACUGCGUUGCCUAAACGACGCAGCGGGAGGAAUAACAGCUCCACGUGGGCCAUUUUUGGUAAGCAGAACUGGCGAUGAGGGAUGAACCUAGCAUUGGGGUAAAGUGCUCGACUGCUCGCUCAUGUGACACCACAAAGGGUGUUGGUUCAUACUGACAGCAGGACGGUGGUCAUGGAAGUUGAAAUCCGCUAAGGAGUGUGUAACAACUCACCUGCCGAAUGGACUAGCCCCGAAAAUGGAUGGCGCUGAAGCGGGUGACUGAUGCCCAAUCAUUGUUGCAAUCUCUGUAACUUUGAGCAGGAGGGCAUGGUGGUUGUUGCAGUGCAGCCCACUCGUGAGCAAGGGUGAAGGAACUUCCAGUGCAGAUCUUGGUGGUAGUAGCAAUUUUUCAAAUGAGAGUUUUUGAAGACCGACGAGGAGAAGGUUUCCAUGUGAACAGCAGUUGGACAUGGGUUAGUCGAUCCUGAGAGCCGAGGUUGUCUCUGUAAGCAGGCUUUGCCGCGUUGCUCGAAAGGGAAUGGGGUUAACAUUCUCCAACCAGAGUGCGGGUAGUGCACGGCAACGUCAACGCCGUUUGGCAACGCGGAGGGGAGCCCUUGGAAGCGAUGUCUUUUCUUGUUUACCCCUCCACACCCUGGAAACAGUCUGCCUGGGGAUAGGGUUGGUUGGUGGGUAUAGCACCUCGCCCUCAGAGGUGUCUGGUGAGCUCCUCACUGCCCUUGAAAAGCUGAACGAGCAAUUAUUCGUCCCUGUCCGUACCCAUAGCCGCAUCAGGUCUCCAAGGUUAGCUGCCUCUGGUCUCUAGAGCAAAGUAGGUAAGGGAAGUCGGCAA